rnacentral:rRNA from 1 species
UGAGGAAUAUUGGGCAAUGCCCGAAAGGGUGACCCAGCAACGCCGCGUGGAGGAUGAAGGUCGUAAGAUUGUAAACUCCUGUUAGAGGGGAAGAAUAACUAAGUUUGGAGCUUAGUAUGACUGUACCCUCAGAGAAAGCCCCGGCUAACUACGUGCCAGCAGCCGCGGUAAUACGGAGGAUGCGAGCGUUAUCCGGAUUUAUUGGGUUUAAAGGGUGCGUAGGCGGCGAUAUAAGUCAGUGGUGAAAUAUUUCGGCUUAACCGAGAGACUGCCAUUGNUACUGUGUUGCUAGAAUAUGGUUGCUGUGAGUGGAAUGUGUGGUGUAGCGGUGAAAUGCUUAGAUAUCACACAGAAUAUCGAUUGCGAAGGCAGCUCACAAAGCCAUUAUUGACGCUGAGGCACGAAAGUGUGGGGAUCAAACA